GCUAGUGUGGUGUAGUGGUUUGAGUGUUGGACUACAACUCUGGAGACCAGGGUUUGAUUCCUAGCACAACUA
rnacentral:tRNA from 1 species